AACAAGGAGGGAACAAGCAUACAAUAAGGAAUGUUUAUCGAAAUCAUGAUGUAUUCGUUUUCUUAAAACCAUGCAAUUGUUUUAGCUCCUUUAAACCCCUCAUGUAAACCCCACAUGAGUAAAUCACUUUACAAAAAUCCAUGCUCAACUAUGUUACCAAAGAAAUGGGAAAUAUGGCAAAAACCCACAAGUUAGCAAAAUAGACAGAAAGUUUCUCGUUGUAGCGAAN
rnacentral:lncRNA from 1 species